CUAGCACGCUGGGUCCCCCCCUCCUUCACUUCUCUCUGAGUCUGAGCCUCACACAGCACCUUUGUUUCUGAGCUCUGGCAACUUCAACUUCUUUUUGUGGUUGAGAACCCUCUAGUUGUUCCCAACAGUAAGUCAGGAAUUCCAGUUUUUGUCAUCCCUCAGUGCCCAUUAAACCAAUGUGAUUUUGGUUGUCUUUAAUCCCCCAUAUAUUGGGUAUCUCCUCCCCACCUCUGGCUUCUACCCCUUCCACCACAUGUCACCAUGGCAGUAUGUCUUCCCUCUUUAUCGGAUCUGAGUGCAGAACCUACCCUUAUGGAAAUCAACCAGGAGCUUCGGUUGCAGCUGGCAAAGUACAAGCAGGACUUCAGAGACCUCACAGAGAAAUUCCUCAUAUCCCAAGCUACUGCUUACUCCCUGGCCAACCAGCUACAGAAAUACAAGUGUGAAGCAUGUAAGGACAUCGUUGAAUCCGUGCUGGGGAGAAGCUGCUGUUUUGAGGUGCGGAGGCCAGCAGAGAAGCCGGCAGAGAAGCCAACGCUUGAUGAAAGGCUGAGGACGUGUGACACCCUAAUCCGAAGUCAGGCAAGAGAGCUGACCCAGUUACGGCAGACACUACAGCAUGGGAAAGAUGACUCUGUCCUGCUCAAGCAGCACCUCAAGGACCUCCUCACCCACAAUGACCAGGGCAGCCACCAAGGGCAGGGCUUCCGAGAGAGACUGUCUGAGGGAUACCGACUGGCAGAGCGCAUUGCCUGCAAGCUCAGCCCAGGUGAGGCAGCCACAGACCCUGAUAGCACUGAUCGUCUCCUAGGUCCCCAGUUGAUAAGAUGCACACCUCUACUAAGAAUAUUUAUCAGCUUUCCUGUUUCGUGUCCUAUUUGGGGCUAUGUAGGAGCAGGAUUGUCUCAGAGGACAGAGGAGAAGUGCACAGGGUGGAGGUCAUCGGAUCCCAACGGUUGGCUUCCUCCCUGAUGGACCAUGGCCACUGGGGCAGGAGGCAACAUCCAGCCAGCAUUAAGGCACAGAAAGGAGGAGGGGACAGGAGGCAGCUUGGUAGAGUGAAUAGACCCCUACACGAAGCUUGGAAGUUCCCAGGUUCCAGGCUGAGUGCUGGGAUGACACUAUGUGAGAAUGGUUGCUUCUCCUUAUGUUAAUAACUGUUCUCCUCUGUAAAAUGGAUGAAAUAAUCUGUUGAUGGUAGCUAGAGUGAUGAAAUUUUGGAAUAUUUACAAGUACACUUCAGAAAAAAGAAAGCCCUUCACUUUGUGGUGUUGGAUAAGGUACUUGACAGAGUUGAACUUGGCAUUGGGAAAAUGGUUUAAACUGGAGCACUCACUUUCCAGAGAGAGACUUUCCCAGAUAACACGCAAAAGCCACCUUGAAGAGCCAGGAUGUUCCCAGAUG
ensembl:lincRNA